CAGGAAUUAGAAGAAAAAAAAAAAAAAAAAAAAAGGGAAAAGAAAAAAAGAAAGAAAGAGAAAAAAGAAACAACCACCGCCCCGGGGGUGAAGCUCCCUCGCUCCCAACUCUACUUCUUGGUCUCCCCCCCACCCCCCGCUCCCCCCCCCUUCUGCUGCUUCCUCCUCCUCCUCCUCCUCUCGCAGCAGCAGUCACAGCAGCAGCAGCAGCAGCCCAAAGGGGGGGAGAGCCGGGCGGCGGGCGGGCGCGUCCCGGAGCGGCCGCGGCGAGGCUGGGGAGACAGCGAUCGAGGCGGCUAUAGCCACAAUUAAUUUUCCGAGCUACAGGCGCACACUAGGGCUGUAAAAAAAUUUUUGGUUUAACCUUUCCUACCGCUCGGCCAAUCAGAGCCGGCGGCGUGCGGGAGCGUCUCUCCCGCCGUCGACCAAUCGGCGGACCCGGGCCCACCCACCCCCGCCCCGCCCGCCGGCUCCCGCCCCCUCGGCGCUCGCCUCCCCCUCGCCGCGGGCCUGGGCCUCGCGGCCGCGCGGAGCCGCGUAGGGAUACGCCGUCCGGAGCACGCUGCGCCGCGGCCCUCUCGGCGCCCCCGCCACCCCCUCCGCCCUGCGGGCCGCUCCGCCGAGGUCCCCCUCUUAGGGCAGAUAGCUCACAUUUCCGGCUGCCUCCUCGCCGUGUCGGGCCAUUUUCGUUUGAGCGUCAAUGUUUGUCGUUAUUGAUUAAAGUUUGUAUUCCAUUUCAUUUUUAAAAGCGGGGGCGGGGGCGGGGGCGGGGGCGGCCGCGGCGGUGGGGCGGAGAGUGUGGGAGUGCGGGGACGGGGUGCGAGGAGAGGGCAGGAAAUGGAGGAGGAAGAGGCGAGGCGCGACCGGCCCCGAGUCGGCCCUCCAGGCCCGGGGCGGCAUUGCCGAGCCCGUAGGAAAACUGUGCCCCUCAUGCAUAGGGAGUCCCUGACCCCAGGACGUUUGGGAACAAGUGGAACUCAUGCAGAGGCAUCCAGGUAUUUCCAGAGACUGACGAGCCGAGGUCUGCAAUCCCUUCCUAACAGCAGCAAGGAGCUUAAUCCUGUGUUUGGAGUCAGCACCCGCCUGUUGUCGGUACCAACGUCCGCCCCCUAGAGGAAGAGCUCUGCAGCUCACCCAACGCCAACCCGUUUUCCCGCCGUGACCUCGGGAAUCAAACUUAAUAUUCCUUUGCAAAUCGCUCUCCAAACUAACUCCCCCCUCCCACACCCCCUCACAUCCCCUUCCGCCCUACAACAUCGUCACAAUAUUUUCUUAGUAAUUGCUCUGUGCAAUUGACAGAAGCGCCAAGUCUCCGGCAGCGCGGUGCUCUCCCAGCAAAGCGCCAGAGCGCGUUGGGAAACAGGUCAGGGGAUAUUUGGGGCUGGAGCGAUAAUCCACUUUUAUCCAAAAUUCGCCUAGAGCAGCCCGAAUUCGGGCCUCGUAAAGCAACGUCUGAUGCCGACCCCACCACAUUCCAGUGCUUCUGUAGGGCUUCCUUAGAGAAAACAGCCCGGGUUCCUGUGCCGGCCGGUUGCUAACUGCGGGAGGGGUUUCCCGGCUUCUCCGUCACUCCCUGCUCCCCUCCACCCCCGAGCACGACGGUCUGAGAUCCCGGCUCUCUCUAAUCAGCUCUCGGAGCCCAAAGGGUCCUUCGAUUUUUCCAAAUGGGUUGCUUGAUGUACUGAGGUAAAGGCAUUAAAGGGGAGGAUAGGUUUGGAUGGGUGACCCCUGUGGCCUGGGAGACCAACCCGGGAGAACCCCCCCUCCCGCCGCCCCCCGCCCGGGUCUUUACACUGAGUCGCGGAGUUUCGAAAAACUUUCUCAGUGCGCGGGGAACUCAGAGGCUGGGCCCGCAGGGACCAGGGGCCUUGCUAUAUUUUAGUCUCGGUGGAUCCUGUCGGCUUCUUUCGAAGAAAAAGCCAACCACACUCCCUCAUCUUGCCUCGCUGCUCUCAAGCCAAUCUUGGAGAAAGGAGAUGCUAAACGAGGCUGUGGCAAGAAAAGUGACGAGGGUGAUCGGUGCGCUCCCGGCUGGUUGACACCCGAGCAGCGAGCAGACUGUUGACAUCAGCGCGCGGGCUUUCGGGCAUUUCCACCCCCCAACCCGUCCCAAGUUUUGUUUUGUUUUGCUUUCAUGUAUUGCUGGAAUACUGUUAAAACUGGAAGUUUGCUGGAAAGGCGAGGAGGGAACAAGCAAGUUGAAUUCGUUUGGGGGGAGAAAAAAAAAAAAACCUCAUAAAUAAAUGGAAUUCGGUUGGGUUUAAUUUCUUCUGUCACCCCUUCCUUCUUUUUUUUCCCCCCGUUUUUUCUCAAUUUCUCACCUUUCCCUUCCCUCUUCUCUCUCUUCCUCCUCUCCCUCCUCUCCUAUCCCUAUCCGUAUUCCUGUCCACAUCCCUACCCCAUCUCUGUGGGUGAAAGAGAAAAGCAGCAGCUAGAGAGGGUGGAGGUGACCAUUUUUAUGCAGAGUUUCAGAACUGCGGUGUGUCAGUCCUCAGUCCCAGCGCUGGAGUUUAAAGGAGAUAUCCUGGGGCUCACUCUUCCUCUCCUCUCCUCCAGAGGCAACUUCAGAACCAGGGACUAAGAAGCUUUUUUUCAUACUAUAGAAUUAUUGUUUUAAAGGUAGUUGAAAUAAAUGUGUGCGUGUGUGUGUGUGUGUGUGUACAAUCUACAAAAUAACAAGCCCCUCAAACUGAUGUCCUAGUACAUGCCUGGCCUAUGGAACGAGGCACGCCCCAAAACUCACUCCGCCCAAGCCCUAAGAACUUAAAUCCUCAAAAAUGUCUCAUUUUGUUUAAUGUACAACUGGCGCUUCCACUCUCAAAUGCCAGUUCUAUCAUUGCUCUCCCGCAUCAUAUUAACAAGCGAUGUUAGCCUUCCCCUACGUGUUUAGGCUGCUAAUGCGGGCCACUUAACGCAACAAAAAUGCUCAUCUGUGGAGAUUUUCCCAAGGCUGGUCUCGAUGCUGGCUCCUUUUUCUUUUCUUUUCAGGGCACGUCAAUUCCUCCCUCCCACUCCGGGGGCUGAGAAAAGGGGGUCCAACAACUUUGAGCAAGUGUGUGAGAGCUCCUUCCUCUAUCUCUUGCCUGCCAACCCUCCCAAGAGAUUGUGAAUUUUUGGUUUUCCCUUAGGAGCAGAAAUAAAUGGAAGCUUCAACCAUGGCACUUGGUUGCCUCUGUCAUCUUUCCUUUCUUCUUCCUCACUUCAUCUGUGAAAGCAGCUCAGGAUUGCUCUGUAUCCUUCUUAGCUCUAGCUUUCUGAAGAAAACUGCUGGUUUUCUUUCCUGCUGGCUGAAAAGCUGGGUUGGAGAUGCUCUCUGUCUAGAACUGUUUGUGUUGUUGUGUGUCUUGUAUGUUUGUCUAGUUUUAACAGCUUUAUGGAGGAGACUCUGAAGGGAGGAAUCACCUGAGCCUAGAUACGGCUUUUGUCAUGUUCUCUUACUUUUAAAUUCUGGCCUGGGAAAAUCAUGUGUUUUCAUGAUUCAUAGGUAUCUAGUUCCAAGGAGGCCAUCAGGGAGAAAAUACAACAAAACUGACUUACUGUGUAGGACAUUUCAUUCAUGGGGUCUUAGUUUAAAAAGAUGAUUGUCUUCAUGUCUCCCCUCUGGAACAUUUUUGCUUUUUAAAAGCCUAUAAAGUAUAGACAUGAGAAGAGAGUGUUUUAGCUCUGUGUCUACCAACUCUCUACCUACGGAUUCUUAGGCAAGUUGCUUCAGCACUCUAAUUCUUUCUCUUCUCAUCUGAGAAAUAAGUGAUCUGCAUUCAUUAAUAUAUAAAAUAGCACCCACUUACCAAAAUCUCAACAACAAUAAAAAGCAAUUCCCAAAACCAUAAGAAUUUUUUUUUUUUUGGAAGCAGGAAGAAAAUCUUAUUCAAACGACAGCAGCGACAUCUAGUGACCAUAAUGCUCAAUAGUAGUGAUGAGAGUGUAGGAUAGUUUCCUGAGGAAUAGGUUUUUCACAGGAGAGAGAAAUCGUGUGUUUUUUUCUAGUAAAUCCUGAUUGUCUGGAAAACAGUAUUCUCUUGAUAUCAAUGGAUAUUUUACUGUGUUCAUGUUAUGGUAAUAAUAUACAGAAAGCAAAAGAUGUUUACCUCAAAUCUGCACAUAGGGCAAUUACAAUUUUUAAGAACAUUCUUCUGCUUUAAAUUCCAUGUUAGGAUACCAGUUCUAAAAAAAAUAAUUUUGUGGGAUGUGCUUUAAUUUCCCAAUUUUCAAAGUUAUAAUCACAUUUAUUAAUGCAUAAAUACUUGGUAAAGUUGGAAAAGGUAGAAGUUUCUGAAAUUUCCUUUUGUCUGGAUCAACCAUUUAGUUGAUUUGAGAUUGCUGUCUAGUCAAUAUCAGGCAACUGAUUAAGGAUAACCUCUCCUUUAAGUUGUCACAUGUAUGCUCUGUCUAUAUCACCUUUGCUCAAAAUAUUUUGAAAUUCAGAGGAAUGCGAUUCCCAUUUCCAGAUGGACUCCAACUCUCCUUUAUAUAGCAAAGAUUAAAUGGAAUAUCUGGGCAUGGGUGAAGUUUUAACAAUGGCAGAGACUUAGCAAUGGCCCAAGACCUUUCAGAAUGACAAUUUUAGCAUUUGCUUGGCAUUUAACACUUCAGACAGAGGUAACAGAAGAAUUCAUCUCAUUCCCUAUGACUUUAUAAAUUGGCCAUGUGUGUAGGCAUAGUUUGUGCAUGCACUCAUUGAAGCAUAAGUGUUCUUAAUUUCCUAUUAGCAAAGCAGCUGAUGACUCCUGGAAUAUAUGGAUCCAUGUUUCGUAACUUUAAAGGAAGCCAAUUUUACUUAUUCCAUUUUAUUUUUGAUCAACGUUCUUUUUAUUUUUUUAUUUUUUAUUAUUAUUUUUUUUUACUAUGGAGUCUGGCCACUGAGUGGUAUGAUAGCUAUUUUAGCCAGGUAGUAUUCUAAAAUAAUAAGAUAAUUGGACUUGUUAUUAACACCUUGGAGAAUUUGAGCUAGUCAUGCCACUUCUCUUAACCUUAGUUUCCUCAUAUGCAAAAUGAGAAAGUUGAACCCUCCAUUGUCCCUUAUAGCUAGAAAGAGCUAUAAAGUAAUACAUCGUCAGCCUUCAUUGGGGAAGACUCUCUGUUGGUGCCCUUGUUAUAAUUUGUGACUCUUCGAUGUCAAUUCUGAAAUUUUCAGUUGGGCAUCUUAUCAGAAAUAAGAACUGGAAGAAUUGAUGAAACUGUCUUCUCCCUGUCCCUCCAAUCUUCCCCUCUGUCUGAUUUUUAAAAUGACAGAAAUCUUAGACUUUCCAGUUAACAUUCACUCAGGCAUUGGCAUGCACCCAGCUCUCUCUUGCGGUCCAUCCAGAAAAAUCACAGCAUAGGAAUGGGACUAAGCUGAACACAAAGAUGAGGCAGCUGUAUUUGAGUUUCUCUAUCUUGUUCCCAUAUCCUUAUGGUAAUGAUUAUUAUUACUAUUAAUUUG
rnacentral:lncRNA from 1 species